rnacentral:lncRNA from 1 species
CUACAUUUAUUGGUGGGAAUCAUUCACUUUUUCUCUUAACCCAGAGUACUCGCUGACUCUUCUGAAGCACAGAUCAAACUCUUGUUUCUCCACAACUGUAACACAGACAAGCAAUAGCCUGACUGCAGAUUACAAUGGAGAGUUUUAAUGUAAGCACCAGCUACCAAAUCCAAGCCUAUGAAAAGAGGCAAGAACCUGUUUGGGGUGCUCUUGAGAGUCAUUAAGACAAUUCUUUCACUAAUCCACACCUUGACAGGAUGAAUCCUGGCCUUUGCCUACACUACACUACAUUGGCAGUGAAAUAUGAAUAGUUUGUAGAAGUGCCUCCCACCUAGAAUCAGAAAUCUAUAUUUUUCAGUAUUCCCAAUCUUGUUUCACUUUGUGUUUUAUUUCCCUCUGCACUCACCUUUGCUCUAGAAGUGUCAAUAUUCUGCCUGUCACUCUUGGAUCUUUAUCCUAGAGUCUUUCCUGCUCCAUUUUCUUAUCACGGGUCCCUAUAAAUCUACUUAAUGUAGCAAGUUGGGAGUUUACAAUUUAAAUUAUUACCCUUUUUGAUCGAUCUGAUAAUUUGUUUGUAGUCUUCAUCUUACUUUUAAAUAACCCAUUAUUCUCUGACCCCUCACCUUUAACCUUAACACUAUAUUGAGCUAUUGUAAAAUUCUAUGGCUCUCUGGACCCUGCUGGCCGCACAUCAGUCAUCGCCUGAAUUACAGUAUCCCCCAUGGGAACUGCGCCAUCUUCCCUCUGACCCACUGCUGGAAUUAUAUCAUCUCUUCUUGUCGCCUGGUCCACCUCUUCUUGACUUGCUCUUAAUAAGCCUUCAACUUCCCUCUGGCUAACUGUCAGUCCUGCAUCGCCCUCUGCUUCUUCAGUCUUGUCUUGAUCCAUGGAUAAAAUGACAUCCUCUGCUUUCUUCUCUUCUGUUCCUGGUGUCUCCAUGGCUUCCACCUCAUCCACAUCCUUUUUUUUAAUUUCCUCCUCCACUUCUCCUUGACUUACCCUGGCCUCUUCAACUUCAUCUACAUCUCUCUUUUCUUUACUCAGAUCUUCUAAGACGGCCUCAACUUCUACCUGAUCUACUGCUGGUGACAUACCCUCAUUUCCAGUUAUCUGCUCCAUCUCUCCUUGGUUUAUGUUACCAAGCCUUCAAUCUCCCUCUGACUUACUGUUGAUACCACAUCUUUUUCUGUAGUCUUGCUCUCUGUCUCCUGCUGAUCUGCUUCUGACACAGUUUUGAUCUGAUCCACUCCAGAUGCCACA